GAGGCCUUAGCUUAAAGUUAAAGCGUCUGAGUUGCAGUCAGGAAAUGUGAGUUAUAGUUUGCAGGUCUUC
rnacentral:tRNA from 1 species